GGAACUCAGAGGACAGAUGAAAACAGGUCCACGUCACCCCAGAGAGAGACAGGAACACAGAGGACAGAUGAAAACAGGUCCACGUCACCCCAGAGAGAGACAGGAACACAGAGGACAGAUGAAAACAGGUCCACAUCACCCCAGAGAGAGACAGGAACACAGAGGACAGAUGAAGACAGGUCCACGUCACCCCAGAAAGAGACAGGAAC